rnacentral:rRNA from 1 species
CUACGGGAGGCUGCAGUGGGGAAUAUUGGACAAUGGGCGAAAGCCUGAUCCAGCCAUGCCGCGUGUGUGAAGAAGGCCUUCGGGUUGUAAAGCACUUUCAGUGGGGAAGAAAGCCUUGGGGCUAAUACCCUCGAGGAAGGACAUCACCCACAGAAGAAGCACCGGCUAACUCCGUGCCAGCAGCCGCAGGUAAUACGGAGGGUGCGAGCGUUAAUCGGAAUUACUGGGCGUAAAGCGCGCGUAGGCGGUCUGAUAAGCCGGUUGUGAAAGCCCCGGGCUCAACCUGGGAACGGCAUCCGGAACUGUCAGGCUAGAGUGCAGGAGAGGAAGGUAGAAUUCCCGGUGUAGCGGUGAAAUGCGUAGAGAUCGGGAGGAAUACCAGUGGCGAAGGCGGCCUUCUGGACUGACACUGACGCUGAGGUGCGAAAGCGUGGGUAGCAAACAGGAUUAGAUACCCCAGUAGUC